rnacentral:rRNA from 1 species
CCUACGGGGGGCAGCAGUGAGGAAUAUUGGUCAAUGGGAGAGAUCCUGAACCAGCCAAGCCGCGUGAGGGAAGACGGCCCUAUGGGUUGUAAACCUCUUUUGUCGGAGAACAAAACCCGGGACGUGUCCCGGACUGCGUGUAUCCGAAGAAAAAGCAUCGGCUAACUCCGUGCCAGCAGCCGCGGUAAUACGUAGGGGGCAAGCGUUAUCCGGAAUCACUGGGUGUAAAGGGAGCGUAGACGGCUGAGCAAGCUUGAAGUGAAAGGCGGGGGCCCAACCCCCGGACUGCUUUGGAAACUGUACUGCUGGAGUGCAGGAGAGGUAAGUGGAAUGCCUGGUGUAGCGGUGAAAUGCGUAGAGAUUAGGAAGAACACCAGUGGCGAAGGCAGCUUACUGGACUGUAACUGACGUUGAGGCUCGAAAGCGUGGGGAGCAAACAGGAUUAGAUACCCUGGUAGUC